AUUGAACGCUGGCGGCAGGCCUAACACAUGCAAGUCGAACGAGUGGCGGACGGGUGAGUAAUGUCUGGGAAACUGCCUGCUGGAGGGGGCUAACUACUGGAAACGGUAGCUAAUACCGCAUACCAUCGGAUGUGCCCAGGUGGGAUUAGCUAGUAGGUGGGGUAAUGGCUCACCUAGGCGACGAUCCCUAGCUGGUUGGAGAGGAUGACCAGCCAUACUGGAACUGUGCCACGGUCCAGACUCCGACGGCAGGCAGCAGUGGGGAAUAUUGCACAAUGGGCGCAAGCCUGAUGCGGCCAUGCCGCUUGUGUGAAGAAGGCCUUCAGGUUGUAAAGUACUUUCAUCGGGGAGGCGUUACCCGCAGAAGAAGCACCGGCUAACUCCGUGCCAGCAGCCGCGGUAAUUC
rnacentral:rRNA from 1 species